rnacentral:rRNA from 1 species
UACAGAGGAUGCAAGCGUUAUCCGGAAUGAUUGGGCGUAAAGCGUCUGUAGGUGGCUUUUUAAGUCCGCCGUCAAAUCCCAGGGCUCAACUCUGGACAGGCGGUGGAAACUACCAAGCUGGAGUACGGUAGGGGCAGAGGGAAUUUCCGGUGGAGCGGUGAAAUGCGUAGAGAUCGGGAGGAACACCAGUGGCGAAGGCGGCCUUCUGGACCAGUACUGACGCUCAUGCACGAAAGCGUGGGGAGCAAACAGG